CCCUUAGAUGUUCUGGGCCGCACGCGCGCUACACUGAUACGUUCAGCGAGUAUAUAACCUUGAUUGGAAAAUCUGGGUAAUCUUUUGAAUGCGUAUCGUGCUAGGGAUAGAUUAUUGCAAUUAUUAAUCUUGAACGAGGAAUUCCUAGUAAACGCAAGUCAUCAGCUUGCAUUGAUUACGUCCCUGCCCUUUGUACACACCGCCUGUCGCACAAACCGAUUGAAUGAUUCGGUGAAAAUUUUGGACAUCGAGAGUGGUGAUUAAUUUCGCUGCUCUUAAAUGGGAAGAAUUUAAACCUAAUUAUUUAGAGGAUUGUGAAGUCAUAACA
rnacentral:rRNA from 1 species